UAGGUGAACCUGCGGAAGGAU
rnacentral:rRNA from 4 species